AGUGAACGCUGGCGGUAGGCCUAACACAUGCAAGUCGAACGGCAGCACAGUAAGAGCUUGCUCUUACGGGUGGCGAGUGGCGGACGGGUGAGGAAUACAUCGGAAUCUACUUUUUCGUGGGGGAUAACGUAGGGAAACUUACGCUAAUACCGCAUACGACCUACGGGUGAAAGCAGGGGAUCUUCGGACCUUGCGCGAUUGAAUGCGCCGAUGUCGGAUUAGCUAGUUGGCGGGGUAAAGGCCCACCAAGGCGACGAUCCGUAGCUGGUCUGAGAGGAUGAUCAGCCACACUGGAACUGAGACACGGUCCAGACUCCUACGGGGGGCAGCAGUGGGGAAUAUUGGACAAUGGGCGCAAGCCUGAUCCAGCCAUACCGCGUGGGUGAAGAAGGCCUUCGGGUUGUAAAGCCCUUUUGUUGGGAAAGAAAAGCAGCAGGUUAAUACCCCGCUGUUCUGACGGUACCCAAAGAAUAAGCACCGGCUAACUUCGUG
rnacentral:rRNA from 1 species